rnacentral:tRNA from 1 species
GCCGGGGAUAGGUCAGCAGACCGGGGGGUUGGGGGUCCCCCAUUCGCGCAAUACCUGGUUCGGCUGCCAUACCCAGCC